rnacentral:misc_RNA from 1 species
UCUCCGUUGGUGAACCAGCGGAGGGAUCAUUACCUAGUUUACAACUCCCAAACCCUAUGUGAACCUUACCUUUUGUUGCAUCGGCGGGCUCGCGCUGACGCUUCACGGAGCCGGUUCGCAGGGCCCGCCGGACGCCCAAAACUCUUGUUUAUUUAUCUUUCCUCUCCGAGUGGCACAAGCAAAAUAAAUCAAAACUUUCAACAACGGAUCUCUUGGUUCUG